GGGUUGUGAGGUUAAGCGACUAAGCGUACACGGUGGAUGCCCUGGCAGUCAGAGGCGAUGAAGGACGUGCUAAUCUGCGAAAAGCGCCGGCGAGGUGAUAUGAACCUUUGACCCGGCGAUGUCCGAAUGGGGAAACCCAGUGUGUUCCGACACACUAUCGUUAACUGAAUACAUAGGUUAACGAGGCGAACCGGGGGAACUGAAACAUCUAAGUACCCCGAGGAAAAGAAAUCAACCGAGAUUCCCCCAGUAGCGGCGAGCGAACGGGGAGCAGCCCAGAGUCUGAAUCAGCUUGUGUGUUAGUGGAACGGUCUGGAAAGUCCGGCGAUACAGGGUGAUAGCCCCGUACACGAAAACACACUUGCUGUGAACUCGAAGAGUAGGGCGGGACACGUGGUAUCCUGUCUGAAUAUGGGGGGACCAUCCUCCAAGGCUAAAUACUCCUGACUGACCGAUAGUGAACCAGUACCGUGAGGGAAAGGC
rnacentral:rRNA from 1 species